rfam:Armatimonadetes bacterium RBG_16_67_12 RBG_16_scaffold_8371, whole genome shotgun sequence.
CUCCGAACGGGCAAACCCACCGCGAGGUGGGGACGCAAAGCCACGGGGGCGCGGCUUCUACACCGAUGGAGCCGCGGCCGGCCGGGUUGCCGAAG